rnacentral:rRNA from 1 species
GACGAACGCUGGCGGCGCGCCUAACACACGCAAGUCGAACGAGAGCUCAGGAGCUUGCCCCUCAGAUCGCGUGGCGAACGGGGGAGUAACGCGUGAGGAACCUGGCUCGAAGAGGGGGACAACAGAUGGAAACGACUGCUAAUACCGCAAAAACCCACCGCGCGGCAAGGAGCGGAGGGAAAAGGAGUGGUCCGCCUUGAGAGGGCCUCGCGUCCGAUUAGCUAGUUGGGGAGGUAAUGGCCCACCAAGGCAACGACUGGUAGCCGGACUGAGAGGUUGAACGGCCACAUUGGGACUGAGAAGCGGUCCAGACUACUACGGGAGGCAGCAGUGGGGAAUAUUGCACAAUGGGGGAAACCCUUAUGCAGCGACGCCGCGUGGAGGAAGAAGGUCUUCGGAUUGUAAACUCCUGUUGUUGAGGAAGAUAAUGACGGUACUCAAAAAAGAAGUGACGGCUAACUACGUGCCAGCCGCCGCCGUAACAC